rnacentral:rRNA from 1 species
UGGCUCAGGACGAACGCUGGCGGCGUGCCUAACACAUGCAAGUCGAACGGGGUUGUUGAAGAAGCUUGCUUUUGAGACAACCAAGUGGCGGACGGGUGAGUAACGCGUGAGGACCUGUCUCCGGCAGGGGGACAACAUUUGGAAACGGAUGCUAAUACCGCAUAAGCCGAGAGGUGAAAGGAGCAAUCCGGCAGGAGAGGGACUCGCGUUCUAUCAGCUAGUAGGCGGGGUAAAGGCCCACCUAGGCGAAGACGGAUAGCCGGACUGAGAGGUCGACCGGCCACACUGGAACUGAGACACGGUCCAGACUCCUACGGGAGGCAGCAGUGGGGAAUAUUGGGCAAUGGGGGCAACCCUGACCCAGCGACGCCGCGUGGGUGAAGAAAUCCCUCGGGAUGUAAAGCCCUGUUGUGUGGGAAGAACACUGACGGUACCACACGAGGAAGCCCCGGCAAACUACGUGCCAGCAGCCGCGGUAAUACGUAGGGGGCGAGCGUUGUUCGGAAUUACUGGGCGUAAAGCGCACGCAGGCGGUUCGUUAAGUCUGCUGUCAAAGGCUGAGGCUCAACCUCAGUUCUACAACAGAUACUUGGCGGACUAGAGUAUGUUGAGAGGGAAGUGGAAUUCCCGGUGUAGCGGUAAAUGGCGUAGAUAUUGGGAGGAACACCAGUGGGGGAGGGCGGCUUCCUGGCACACUACUGACGUUCAUGUGAGAAAGCCAGGGCAGCGAACCGGAUUAGAUACCCCGGUAGUCCUGACCGUAAACGAUGGAUACUGGGUGUGGGGCAAUCAGUUGUUCCGUGCCGUAGUUAACGCGUUAAGUAUCCAGUCUGGCGUCUCUGGUCGCAAGACUGAAACUCAAAGGAAGUGACGGGGGCCCGCACAAGCGGUGGAGCACGUGGUCUAAUUCGAUGCAAACCGAAGAACCUUACUUGGGUUUGACAUACACGUGGUAUUGAAGUGAAAGCGGAUAGACCUUAGCUUGCUAAGGAGCGUGAACAGGUGCUGCAUGGCUGUGGUCAGCUCGUGUCGUGAGAUGCUGGGUUAAGUCCCGCAACGAGCGCAACCCCUAUUUCCAGUUGCUAACAGGUGGAGGUGAGCACUCUGGCGAGACUGCCGCCGACAAGGCGGAGGAAGGUGGGGAGGACGUCAAGUCAUCAUGGCUUAUAUGCGCAGGGCUACACAUGUGCUACAAUGUCCGGCACAGAAGGCAGCUUAUGCUCGAGCAUUGGAGAAUCCUCAAAAGCCGGUUCCAGUUCGGAUUGUAGUCUGUAACUUGAUUACAUGAAGCCGGAAUGCGGUAGUAAUGGCAGAUCAGCCAAGCUGCGGUGAAUUCGUUCCCGGGCCUUGUACACACUGCCCGUCACACCACCCGAGUUGGGGGCAACCAAAGCCGCAGGCUCAACCUGCAAAGGAGAGAUGCGUUUA